rnacentral:rRNA from 1 species
GGGUCAGUAGGUUGGUCGUGCCACCGGUACGUACUGGUCUCACUGAUUCCUCCUUCCUGAAGAACCGUAAUGCCAUUAAUUUGGUGUUGCGGGGAAACAGGACUGUUACUUUGAAAAAAUUAGAGUGUUUAAAGCAAGCUAACGCUUGAAUACAUUAGCAUGCAAUAAUGAAUUAGGACGAUCGAUGCUAUUUUGUUGGUUUCUAGGAUUGACGUA